rnacentral:rRNA from 1 species
UUUUAAGGUCAAGCUACAAAGGGCGCAUGGUGAAUGCCUUGGCACUAGGAGCCGAAGAAGGACGCGAUAAGCUGCGAUAAGCCUUGGGUAGCCGCAAAUAGGCUGAGAUCCAGGGAUUUCCGAAUGAGGAAACUCACAUGGGUAACCCCAUGUAUUAUGCACUGAAUACAUAGGUGUAUAAGGGUAAACCCGGGGAACUGAAACAUCUAAGUACCCGGAGGAAGAGAAAGAAAAAUCGAUUUCCUAAGUAGCGGCGAGCGAACGGGAAAGAGCCCAAACCAGAAACUUGUUUCUGGGGUUGUGGAUAGAUCAUAAAAGAAGAGGUAUCUUAAUCGAAGAGGGCUGGAACGCCCUACCAUAGAAGGUAAUAGUCCUGUAGGUAAAAAGAGAAAACUUCGAGAUCUAAUCCAGAGUACCACGAGACACGUGAAACCUUGUGGGAAGCAGGGAGGACCACCUCCCAAGGCUAAAUACUACCUAGUGACCGAUAGUGAAGCAGUACCGUGAGGGAAAGGUGAAAAGAACCCCGGAAGGGGAGUGAAAUAGAACCUGAAACCGUGUGCCUACAACCGAUCGGAGCACGUUAAAGUGUGACGAUGUGCUUUUUGUAGAACGAGCCAGCGAGUUACGCUAUGUAGCAAGGUUAAGUACUUAAGGUAUGGAGCCGAAGGGAAACCGAGUCUGAAAAGGGCGAAAAGUUGCAUGGUGUAGACCCGAAACCGGGUGACCUAUCCAUGGCCAGGUUGAAGCGAGAGUAAAAUCUCGUGGAGGACCGAACCACGUUGGUGUUGAAAAACCAUGGGAUGAGCUGUGGAUAGCGGA